rnacentral:rRNA from 1 species
UACGGAGGAGGCAAGCGUUAUCCGGAAUUAUUGGGCGUAAAGCGUCCGCAGGUGGCGAUUCAAGUCUGCGGUUAAAGACUGGGGCUUAACCCUGGAAAGGCCGUGGAAACUGAAACGCUAGAGUGCAGUAGGGGUAGAGGGAAUUCCCGGUGUAGCGAUGAAAUGCGUAGAGCUCGGGAAGAACAUCGGUGGCGAAAGCGCUCUGCUGGACUGCAACUGACACUCAGGGACGAAAGCUAGGGGAGCGAAUGGG